CUGGCAUGCUGUUAGUGUCAAUGGUUGUGUCUGUGGAGGACAAGAACUCUGACUGUCACUGCAGACUGUUGGCAGCCAAGCCUGCAGCACCUCUGUCUCUCCUAAUCAUCCUGCAUAAUUAAUGGAGAGAAGAAGGGAUUAUCUGAAUGCCAGUGGGCUGCUCAAGGAAGGGAGAUCAGAACCUGUCUCCACUUGGGUCCGCUGAUCACCAGCAAUAGUAACUAUGUGGAGGAUGGAGAAUCAACUUCUGAUGGAAAAAUAUCAUUUCUCUCUGUCCAAAUAGAAGGGAUGAUUUUCUUGUCAGUCUCCAAAUUGGCCUCCUUGGGACCACGCUCUGAGAUGGUGAUGUCUACAUUACGGAAUAGAGACAACUCUCACCUUACCAAAACAGAGAAGGAAAGAAAAAUGGUGGUUAAUAGAAUCUCUCUUCUCAAAAAACAAACAAACAAACAGAACAAAACAAACAAAAACAUUACAAAAAAUCCUACAGACAGAGAGCCCUCAGACUGUGCCAUUCCUUAGGGUUUCAGCUCAGACUUCUUCAGGGACACUCCAACCUGAUUAAACUCCUAGGGAGACGCAGUUCAGAAAUUUAAUAGCCAAUACAGAUAUCAUAAAAGCCUGACUGUUGUUUGUGGUCAACGGUGCAGUUUUCUUUGAGCAGUGAGGAAGAGAAAUGUGUCUGUGUGUGAUGGAGAGUGGCAAUCAGUACUAAGAUGUGCACCCAGUUUGUUGGGAAAAGUAAUGGGAUAUAAAGGAAAGCAGGAGCAGAGUGAAGGAAGCACAGAAGAGCUGAUGGGAAGCCCCUGAGACUCAGAGGCAAUCUCUGUUCUCCCUUGCCAGCAUGCUGCAGUGUGAUGGAUAAGCGUCUAAAACAUGGGAAAACCUGAAGCAAGGAAGCACUCCUAUCCCUGAUGAAGAUGCAUCAUCACUGGGCUUGGUUCAAAAACCAUUAAAGCUUCUGAGUGGUUCCAGUGGGAAUGAGAACAACCCUUUUUCUGAAGAAAUAGAGAUGGUGCUGACCCAGUUGCUAUUGGGAAUUUGGUGAUGCAGAGCACAGAGGCAGCGAUGGGAUUUCACUACCCUGAGGAGGUGCUGAGCACAUUCAGAUGUCUCCAAAGCUGGUCAGUCCUAUAAUGAGCCCCUGUCGCGUGCCAGGAGUUGCUGAAGCUUUGGAAAGGAAGAUUUUGUCUGCUACAAACCCUGCCAUGGUACAGAGGUUAACUAGACACCUGAAAUUGCAACGCUGGAGUAGAUAAAGCAGCCUGGAAUCAGUUAACAAGCUUAAAUCACUGUUCACUCUGUCCUAUAUUACAACAGAAAAACCUUUGGAACUGAAAAUGCUGAGCUGCAUCUGCAGCUGGCAAUGAGGCAUGUAGCUCUGGCCCUGGGUUUGGCUUCUGAUGGUUGGACAGGAGCUUUGUACAUGGUGGAACAGGUUCCCAGAGAGGUGGCUGAUGCUCUGUCCCUGGACACAACCAAGGUCAGACUGGACCAGGCUCUGGGCAACCUGAGGUAGCUGUAGGUAUCCUCAUUUGUGGUAGGGGAGUUGGACUAGAUGACCCUUCCAAGAUCCCUUCCAUCUCAAAUGAUUCUACAGUCUUAUGGUGGAUGAACACUUCAGGUCUCCCAGUGAUGAACUUCAGUGGAGACAUAGCAGAAAUGUAGAGACAAGCAGGAACCCAUGAGUUGGGGAUUGGGAUGAAUGAUGGGUAUUGUCACUGCAGGCUCUGUCUUCUUCUAAGCCAUCCUGUGUUUGGUUGCCUUGUCCUGACGUAGUCAUUCCUGUGGGAACACUUCUUCCCUCUCCUGGUUGAAGGCAGAGUAAUUGCAGCCACACUCCAAGUGGGGCCUUCUGGUGCUCUGCACACCUCCCUCAUGCCUUGGUGUGGAACGGUUUACAUGAGAACCUUCAGUGGUAUUUAAUCAGAAAUUUGGGCUCAGAGGGUUGUUUUGGGUUUCUUUGCAUCUGUUUUCUUAGUGUUAGCAGCUGGCUCCUGGGAACCUGCUGCCACCACCUGCCCUGGCAGCACUGGGCUUUGGUGUGGUGCUGGCACUCCGUGCACAGAGCCAUUUAAUUGAAGGUGUGUGAGGACAAGGCUC
ensembl:lncRNA